AACGAGGCCGACCUGCGGCUGAGUUACCUGCGGAGGGAUCAUUACAGAGAUUGAUGCACCAAGUGCAUCACCUCGAACCCCUUGCGAAAACAACUAUCAUGUGUUGCUUUGGCAGUGUUUCCACUGCCAGAGGUUUACAUAAAAUCAGCUGUUGGAUGUUGUCUGAGUAAACUAUAUGAAUUAUUUAAAACUUUUAACAAUGGAUCU
rnacentral:misc_RNA from 1 species